rnacentral:rRNA from 1 species
UACAGAGGUCCCAAGCGUUGUUCGGAUUCACUGGGCGUAAAGGGAGCGUAGGCGGCCAUGUAAGUGAGGUGUUAAAUCCCCCGGCUCAACCGGGGACCUGCACCUCAUACUGCACGGCUUGAGUACAUCAGAGGAGACUGGAAUUCCCGGUGUAGCGGUGAAAUUCGUAGAUAUUCGCAGGAACACCAGUGGCGAAGGCGGCUUACUGGUCCAUAACUGACGCUGAGGUGCGAAAGCGUGGGGAGCAAACAGGG